AUUGAACGCUGGCGGCAUGCCUUACACAUGCAAGUCGAACGGCAGCACGGGAGCAAUCCUGGUGGCGAGUGGCGAACGGGUGAGUAAUGUAUCGGAACGUGCCCAGUCGUGGGGGAUAGCGUAGCGAGAGCUACGCUAAUACCGCAUACGAUCUAUGGAUGAAAGCGGGGGAUCGCAAGACCUCGCGCGAUUGGAGCGGCCGAUAUCAGAUUAGGUAGUUGGUGGGGUAAAGGCCCACCAAGCCUGCGAUCUGUAGCUGGUCUGAGAGGACGACCAGCCACACUGGAACUGAGACACGGUCCAGACUCCUACGGGAGGCAGCAGUGGGGAAUUUUGGACAAUGGGCGCAAGCCUGAUCCAGCAAUGCCGCGUGCAGGAUGAAGGCCUUCGGGUUGUAAACUGCUUUUGUACGGAACGAAACGGCUUUUUCUAAUACAGAGAGCUAAUGACGGUACCGUAAGAAUAAGCACCGGCUAACUACGUGCCAGCCGCCGCGGUAAAAC
rnacentral:rRNA from 1 species